CAAAUGUCGAACCCUAGUUCAAGCUCGCUCCAUCCCCCGGCCUCCUCUCCCCAUCCCACGCGAGCGCCGCCGGGUCAGCCUCGGCUGGCGGCGCCGUCCCCCUCGCUCACCGGCUACACCGCGUGCCCAGCCCCGCGUCGCCGCCGGGUCAACCUCAGCUGGCGGCCUCGGCCCCCUCUCCCAUCGACUCCACCACUCGGGGAUUCUUUCCGCCGGCACCCGCGCCCUUUCAUCCCCUCCGCCGGCACUCGCGCGUGGCGACCGAGCUGGAGCAGGCGCUAUUUGCCGCUGGCACGCGUGCCACGCAGGGGCACCGCGGUGGCACUGCGGCAGGCGCGCGGUUCCGCCUCGCAGGAGCGCCGAUUCGACGGCCCAUCUCUUCUCCUCCACUCGUCCAUGGCGGUCAUGCGGCCGUGGCUCCGUGUCAUGCUUAUCAUCAGGCCUCAGUACCUGGGUACAGCAGCUUCUCCUCGGGCUCGCCACCAGCGUUGCCUCACCCUGUUCUUCCUGCAGGGUUGUCUCGAUUAGAUCCAGCGAUUGUGAGGAGAGGGAAGGCAGUGGCCGCUGGCCGGAUCUGAAGUAGGAUGGUCGCUUCUCAUCCGGUCCAGUCUGCAUUGUGGUUCCCUCCAGCCUGCAGUACACGGAUCCACCAUUGCCGAGGCACAGGUUGAACAUUUCCUUCUCAUCUCAAUGGAUUUGAUUAACCAUGUGGGAAGUGUCUACUGGUAUUCCUUUCUUUUUGCCAUUCUAUCGAACUGAAAUUUCCGGUGAAGUAGUGGAUCUGUGCUCACUGUCGGAGCAAUUUGUAUUGUCUUGUUUAAUUCAAGUAGAGUUCAAUAACUUCUGAUUGAUGAUAGAAGUCAAAUAUUGUGUUCUUGCAGUAUCCAUUUUAGCCAAAGAUAUAUGACUGAGAGUACAAGGAUUCAAUUUAUUCCAAUCUAAAUGAUAUGAAACUCAGAAACUCUUAUGAGUUAGAAUAUGUUGCCUUUAGAAACUAUAGCUAGGUUUCACUGAUUACAUUUAAUUUUCUGAUGCUUGCAGUUCUCCAUAGACCACUUAGGAAAUUGGAGAUGAAAAAUGCUCAGUAGUUAAAGAUGGCAUCAAAGUCUUCCCAGAGGAAUGCAGGAACUUCUAGGAGGGGUAAUAGGCAGAAGCUAAGCUGAUCAAAUUAAAGUGUUGAGCUGAUGAUAGGAUACCAUGAGCUAUGUUCAGCUAGGAUAUGUAUAUAUGAUGUGUAACAUAGUAUCAAUUAUGAUACCAUUAUGUAAAAGGACGAUAUAUGUUAGGAAGAUGUAUGUUUAUUGAAGUUGACUCCUACUCGUGUAUAUGAUGAAUGAACCUUUGAAACUCAAUAUGAAAUAUGUAUUAACUGCUCA